AACGAAAAUAAAAAGAUAAACUUCAAAUAUCAUCAUAUUCGCAUAUCAUUUUAUCAUUCUGCAUUUUUGUUAAAUAAUAUACAAAAAAUAUUACAGACACACCACUUACAGUUUAUUGGAUAUUCAUUUUAGUAGUCUAUAAUUUAUCAAAAAUUUAUUUUAAUAUUCUUUAGUUUUAAAAAUGAAAAAAUUAAUAGAGGAGAUAAUAGAAAGAGGGAAACGAAAUUAAAGGAUACAAAAGUGAUACAUUUUAAAAAAUAAAAAGAGCAUUUACUUAUAUACCACUUUAUUAUUUACCACUCUUAAAAGUAUAAUAUUAAAAUACUCUUUUAAAGUUCCAAAGUCUUCCAAAUAUACUCCUAUAGUUGAAUUCUGUUAAUGAACUGUUACGAACAAUCGUUAUUUCUAUAGAAUGAUCAUUUUAUCAUUUCAAAUAUACCAUUAGUCAUCUAUUGUCGUUAAUUUUUCUUAUUUGUUCUUAAAUUAGAGAUAAAAUAGAUAUUUUUCACUACUUUUAACUAUCGGAAAAAUUUAACUUAGUUUUAACCCAAAAUGAAUUAACGGGCACUAAUAGCAAGGAUAUUUUUGAAUAACGAAGAAAUAUAUGAUGUGUAUAUUUGAAACAAAAAAUAAAUAAAUCAAAUAUUU
rnacentral:lncRNA from 1 species